AUUAAUCCUCUUACAAUUCUUUACAAGUUCCUCAACUUAGAGAAAGGGCUGGAGUUUUGGGAGGAUUUUUUAGGAACAAACAUAUUAUUGAAACUAUUUUUGAUUAUGUUCCAGUGGAUUCAAGAACCGAUUCCUCUAUCUUUGUAUUUGCAAAAUCUAUAGUUUUUAUGUGAUUAUAAUAGCGAUUAGGGAGGCAUGGCUCAAGCUCUCUCUGUCAAACAACAUGGGGAUAAAAGCAACAGAUUUGUGUGAAGCUCUAGGUUUCUACUGUUUGUCGAUAGAUUGACGUUGGGCAUCCAUCGUCUGAACUUCGGUUCCAGUCUCAUAAGCUUAUCAGCAAACAAAAAAUUAAUUUUGCACCCGCCACUUUCAUAAACCUGAAGGCAUGGCUAAAUGCUGAUGAAUCAAAUGGUUGUGAAUGAUCUCGGCAUUUUUCGGUUCAUCUUCAUGAGUAAUAGUGCUUUGCGGAAUUUGCAAGAAACUAAUGAAGCACCUCAAAUAAUGCUUAACUAUAUAUUAAUGAAACUGAGUCACUGGAUCAUAUGAUAUGUUAUGUUCUUUCCCCCAUUUGCUCUUUGUUUGUUAUAAGGUUCUUUUGUGUAAUUUUUUAUUUUCUUCUAUUUACUUUUUACAUGAUGUGAGUUUUGAGCAAAAAGCUAUCAUAAUGAGCUAUAUUUAUUUAAUUAUUUAUUAUUGUGGUCAUAUCGAAAGUGAAUCACUUCAUCCGUCUCUUUUUGUGAUCUGAAGGGCUGAAAAUUACCCUCAAGUCUGAUGACAUUAAAAAAGAAUUCAUGAAGUUAAAAAUUUAACAUUAAAGGAUAAAAAAUUAGAUGUGUUGUCAUUUAAUUUUGUUUUUAGAAUCUGUUGUAUAAUUUCUUAAAUU